ensembl:lncRNA
GCUGGAUGGCAUCACCGACUCGAUGGACAUGAGUUUGAGUAAACUCCCGGAGUUGGUGGUGGACAGGGAAGCCUGGCGUGCUGUGAUUCAUGGGGUCUCAAAGAGUCGGGCACUACUGAAUAACUGAACUGAACUGAACUAGGUCAAGAAAGGGGUACAUACAGUAGCAUAAGCUUCUAUGUCACGUGUACAUUAUGACUUAUGACUCAGGGGCCCACGGAAGUAUCUGAGGCUUUAUGGGACCUCUGACAAACCCUGACAGAAGAAUAAGAGCAUGGAACCUUAGGAUUUUCAUUGUGAAAAGAAGUUCUUGCCUUGCUACUGGACCCUAAUAUACCCAGUGUGCUGACUUGGGGAUGCCAAGUGAUUAUGCUAUUUGAGUUACUCAUCCUGAACUAGGUGGUUUAUGAUCCGUUGAACUAUGAAACAGUAUAAACAGAAGUAAUCCAUCAUAAAUGAAAAUAAUCAGGCCAUAGUGGAUUCGAAGGCCUCAAUUUGUGUAAGCAACAGGUUCAGACUUUCAUAUAACUUGAUGCCUUUCCCUCAAUCCAUACAUCUGGUUUCACGGGGAGUUCUGUAUGACUAGAAUAAGCAGAUAUCCAGGUUUACCCUAGGUAGUACUGGUUUAUACCUGUUGGUCUGCAUUAUUCAUCAUUCAUGACACCACUUUUCAUUGUCAAAAGUAUCCUAAUUUGGAGAAUCAAUUAUGACUACCCUAUAUAUGAUCAAUUAAUGAAUAGAAAGGAAUGUGUGCCUGGUUUAUGGAUUUUUGUACUCUAGCAUCUGCUGGAAGUGUACAGUUAAUACCGCACAAGCCCAGUGAGUGGACAGAACUCCAAAUAGUAUAUCUGGUGUCUCUUAUGUAUGGAAGGACAAAUGGUUUGAGAUAUUGAUCAAUACCAACUCAGGGUCAACACCAGACUGGUCAGCUGCUCAAGGAGUCAAAAAGAACAAAACUGGACAAUUACUAAUAAGGAUGUCUAGAAGGCAGGCUACUUAGAUGUUUUAGAAUGGGCUAUAGUAGGAAGAUAUUUAUUUCUUACGUAAAUGUCCAGUGGAGGGGAGUCACAGUGGAGGAAAUUCCCAGUAAUUAAGAUGGCUCCUCCUGUGGGGUAUAUUGAACCCACCUUGGUGUUUGCUCAUGGACUGGUGCUUGAAGUGAUAUGGUAUCAACAGCUUGGUAUCCCCCUUGUCAAAGCUGAUCUAACCAUUAACACAAUUAAGUGCCCACCUGCCAAUAGCAGAGACCAGCUUUGAGCCUGUUAUAUGACAUCAGGGAAACCAGCAUAUGUGGUCUUGUAAAUGCUUGCUCUGAAUUCCAAAGAAGGACAAAAGGGGUAGGGUAUGGAGUGUGAAUGGAAAAGCACAAUUUCAUCAGAUAAUGGGAAUAUUCCAUUUCUCCACUAUUACUGAAGCUAUUUUGUUAGGUUCUCCUUAUGAAAAGGAUCAGUAGGAAAAGAAGGAAACUACUAUGAUGUAGCAAUUCUAUUUGUGGACUUUAUCUCGUUUAGUGUUCACAGCAACCCUGUGGGGUGAGUUGCACUCUGACUCCCUUAGGGACAUGAAAACACAGGAGCAGAGAGACAAAGUCUCCACUUUCAAAGACUCAUAGAUAAUUAGAUGUGAUGUCAAGGUUUGAACUCAUACCUGUCUUUAAUGGAGACUUUUUAGGAGACUGUCUGGAAUGCUAAGUUCCAGCCCAUGGAGUGGGAGUGAGCAGAGCUCACCUGAAGAGAGGGAGGAAAUAAGAGCUCUGCCUGAAGAGAGGGAGCAAAUAAGAAGUGGCUGCAUGGUCCUGUUAAGGCUCUUGAAAUAGCCCAGGUGAGGAGGCAUGUCAGGGCUCUUUUCCUUGGCUUAUUCUCCAAAAUCUCCACAAGAGAUGGAGGGGAAUCUGAGUUGCACAGACUCUGAGGCCUGGUCUGGGCAUCUUGAGAGGAAAUGGAGAGAAUGAGGGAGUAGGCUACUUUUUAGGGGUGAGGUGACUUUUCAGAUCUGGCCUUGGAACCUCUUGAUUUAGGCAAGUAGCCCUGGCUGAUAAAACCCUAGCUUUGGUGACAAGUACUGAUCAUUAUCUGGGUUCCUUUUUCCCACGUUAUGUUUCACAGAAAUGAGCUAAUUCUCACAUGAUGCCCACAUGACUCUUGGGUUUCUUCUUCUUGGAGGCCUCAUUCUGCAGAUGCUUUCGAUACUGUUCUGAGAAAACUUGUGUGAUUCCCUCCCAGCCCCUUGCAUACUCCCAAUCUUAGCCUGGAGAUGCCCUAAUCUCUCUGGUUCCUGGGUACUCUGUACUUGAUCUUGUUAUAGCAUUUUUCACAUGUGUUAGGGGGUUGGGGAUAUCUAAUCUGCAGUGCUGUUGUGAGAUAAUACAUGUAAAGCACUCAAGUUUGGCCUUGAGUGGCUGUUUUUGUUAUUGUGUCUGUGUGUGUGUUAGUCGCUCAGUUGUGUCCAUUUCUUUGUGAUCCUAUGGACUGUAGUCUGGCAGUCUCCUCUGUCCGUGGAAUUCUCCAGGCAAGAAUACUGGAGUGGAUUGCCAUUCCCUUCUCCAGGGAAUCUUCCCCACCCAGGAAUUGAUCCUGGGUCUCCGUCAUUGCAGGCAGAUUUUUUACCAUCUGAGCCAC